rnacentral:misc_RNA from 1 species
UCUACUUAGAAAUAAAAGCCUCCAAAACAUAUGUUUUGGAGGCUUUUUUAUUUUGUGCGUUACAGUAA